rnacentral:lncRNA from 1 species
GGAGUCUGGAGAGACGAGAUGGCGACAGGGUGACCCGCGACUGGUGGAAAUAGACGACGACGAGCGAGCGGACGCGGAGACUGGAGAGGAUUGAUGGCUGCCCGCUGCUGUUCAACAAUGUUAGGGAAUUAGGGUUUCUUUAGAGACUGGAUCUGGAAUGAGGAAUUAGAAAAUUAGGGGUAACGGCCUAAUGGGUAUACUGUAUAGACAGAAGUGACGGUAGGGG